rnacentral:rRNA from 1 species
GAUGAACGCUGGCGGCGUGCCUAAUACAUGCAAGUCGAGCGAACAGACGAGGAGCUUGCUCCUCUGACGUUAGCGGCGGACGGGUGAGUAACACGUGGAUAACCUACCUAUAAGACUGGGAUAACUUCGGGAAACCGGAGCUAAUACCGGAUAAUAUAUUGAACCGCAUGGUUCAAUAGUGAAAGACGGUUUUGCUGUCACUUAUAGAUGGAUCCGCGCCGCAUUAGCUAGUUGGUAAGGUAACGGCUUACCAAGGCAACGAUGCGUAGCCGACCUGAGAGGGUGAUCGGCCACACUGGAACUGAGACACGGUCCAGACUCCUACGGGAGGCAGCAGUAGGGAAAUCUUCCGCAAUGGGCGAAAGCUUGACGGAGCAACGCCGCGUGAGUGAUGAAGGUCUUCGGAUCGUAAAACUCUGUUAUUAGGGAAGAACAAAUGUGUAAGUAACUAUGCACGUCUUGACGGUACCUAAUCAGAAAGCCACGGCUAACUACGUG